rnacentral:rRNA from 1 species
GACGAACGCUGGCGGCGUGCUUAACACAUGCAAGUCGAACGGAAAGGCCCUGCUUUUGUGGGGUGCUCGAGUGGCGAACGGGUGAGUAACACGUGAGGAACCUGCCCUUGACUUUGGGAUAACUUCAGGAAACUGGGGCUAAUACCGGAUAGGAGCUCCUGCUGCAUGAUGGGGGUUGGAAAGUUUCGGCGGUUGGGGAUGGACUCGCGGCUUAUCAGCUUGUUGGUGGGGUAGUGGCUUACCAAGGCUUUGACGGGUAGCCGGCCUGAGAGGGUGACCGGCCACAUUGGGACUGAGAUACGGCCCAGACUCCUACGGGAGGCAGCAGUGGGGAAUAUUGCACAAUGGGCGGAAGCCUGAUGCAGCAACGCCGCGUGCGGGAUGACGGCCUUCGGGUUGUAAACCGCUUUCGCCUGUGACGAAGCGUGAGUGACGGUAAUGGGUAAAGAAGCACCGGCUAACUACGUG